rnacentral:rRNA from 1 species
CGGAGGAAAGAACUAACCAGGAUUCCCUCAGUAGCGGCGAGCGAACAGGGAAGAGCCCAGCACCGAAUCCCGCGGCCGAUACCGGACGCAGGGAAAUGUGGUGUUAGGGAGAGGCGACAUGCCUCGAGAUCCGGCGGCGCGUCCAAGUCCUUCUUGAAUGGGGCCACAGCCCAUAGAGGGUGCCAGGCCCGUAGUGACCGUCGCCGAUCGCGAGGUGCCCUCUCCUAAGAGUCGGGUUGCUUGAGAGUGCAGCCCUAAGUGGGUGGUAAACUCCAUCUAAGGCUAAAUAUGACCACGAGACCGAUAGCGAACAAGUACCGUGAGGGAAAGUUGAAAAGAACUUUGAAGAGAGAGUUCAAUAGUACGUGAAACCGUUCAGGGGUAAACCUGAGAAACCCGAAAGGUCGAAAGGGGAGAUUCAUCGCGUUUCAUUUGCCGGAACGGAUCGUCGCGUGACGGAUGGCCACGUGUCGUUCGCACCUUCGGUACGUGACAGCGGUGGGUGAACGUGUGCACUUCUCCCCGAGUAGGACGUCGCGAUCCGUUGGGUGCCGGUCUAAGGCCCGCGGUGGAGCCCGCUCGAACGUCUUGACGUUUCGGACGGACCCGCGGUGUUCCCGACCGGCUCGCUCGACGGUAUACAGAAGGCGCGGGGCCGCGACUUAAGUUCGCGUCCGGCCCGUAGCAAGCGCUCCGCGUGUGUCGGCGAUCGGACCUGGUGCCGAUUCCGGCCCGCGUAGGCUGUUGGCUGCGGUGUUCUCGGACAGACCUCGUCGUAACGCCGAUCUGCGACGCUAUAGCUUUGGGUACUUUCAGGACCCGUCUUGAAACACGGACCAAGGGAGUCUAGCAUGUGCGCGAGUCAUUGGGAUUCACUAAACCUAAAGGCGCAAUGAAAGUGAAGGUUCGCCUCGCGCGGACCGAGGGAAGAUGGGCGGUUGCGGUUUUCCGUCGCCGCCCCGCAUUCCCGGGGCGUCUCGUUCUCAUCGCGAGAAGAGGCGCACCAAGAGCGUACACGCUGGGACCCGAAAGAUGGUGAACUAUGCCUGGUCAGGACGAAGUCAGGGGAAACCCUGAUGGAGGUCCGUAGCGAUUCUGACGUGCAAAUCGAUCGUCGGAACUGGGUAUAGGGGCGAAAGACUAAUCGAACCAUCUAGUAGCUG